rnacentral:misc_RNA from 1 species
CCUAGAGUUGUAGGCUUUGCCGCUAUCUCUUACCCAUGUCUUUUGAGUACCUUCGUUUCCUCGGCGGGUCCGCCCGCCGAUUGGACAAUUUAAACCAUUUGCAGUUGCAAUCAGCGUCUGAAAAACUUAAUAGUUA